rnacentral:rRNA from 1 species
GUGCACGCUGGCGGUAGGCCUAACACAUGCAAGUCGAACGGCAGCACAGUAAGAGCUUGCUCUUACGGGUGGCGAGUGGCGGACGGGUGAGGAAUACAUCGGAAUCUACUUUUUCGUGGGGGAUAACGUAGGGAAACUUACGCUAAUACCGCAUACGACCUACGGGUGAAAGCAGGGGAUCUUCGGACCUUGCGCGAUUGAAUGAGCCGAUGUCGGAUUAGCUAGUUGGCGGGGUAAAGGCCCACCAAGGCGACGAUCCGUAGCUGGUCUGAGAGGAUGAUCAGCCACACUGGAACUGAGACACGGUCCAGACCCCUACGGGAGGCAGCAGUGGGGAAUAUUGGACAAUGGGCGCAAGCCUGAUCCAGCCAUACCGCGUGGGUGAAGAAGGCCUUCGGGUUGUAAAGCCCUUUUGUUGGGAAAGAAAAGCAGCAGGUUAAUACCCCGCUGUUCUGACGGUACCCAAAGAAUAAGCACCGGCUAACUUCGUG